rnacentral:rRNA from 1 species
UAUAUCGGCGGUGUCUACCUCUUCCCAUUCCGAACAGAGCAGUCAAGCCCGCCAGAGCCGAUGGUACUGCCGUAAAAGGUGGGAGAGUAGGUCGGUGCCGAAC